UACAGGGGGUGCAAACGUUGCUCGGAAUCAUUGGGCGUAAAGCGCACGUAGGCGGUUCGUUAUGUCGGAUGUGAAAGCCCUUGGCUUAACCGAGGAAGUGCAUCCGAAACUGGCGAGCUAGAGUACUAAAGAGGAUCGCGGAAUUCCCGGUGUAGAGGUGAAAUUCGUAGAUAUCGGGAGGAACACCGGUGGCGAAGGCGGCGAUCUGGGUAGAUACUGACGCUGAGGUGCGAAAGCGUGGGGAGCAAACA
rnacentral:rRNA from 1 species